CUAAAAUGUGAAUGAUUACUUAAGCUUCGUCUUCCUCUUCAAAUGCUUUAACUUGGACUUCAUUUUCCUACAUUUCUGCAAAACGUCGGCUGGGAGGAAUAAAUACGAGGCCUCUUAAAUUUUGACCGAGGACUAAAUCCGGCUCGAAGGACCAAAUGUUAUUACCUCAAGUUUUAUUCAAUACCUUACCGCUUUUGGGGGACAGUGAAAGACUCGCAUCGAGGGAGAAUUAUUUCAUUCUAAUUUUUAUUUUGCUUUUUGAAGCUUUAUUAUUUCAGAAAUCUUACGCAUCUAAUUAGAUAUGUAUAUUGAUAUGUACUGCACACUAUA